rnacentral:rRNA from 1 species
UACGUAGGGGGCAAGCGUUGUCCGGAUUUAUUGGGCGUAAAGAGCGUGUAGGCGGCCAGUUAGGUCCGUUGUGAAAACUCGAGGCUCAACCUCGAGACGCCGAUGGAAACCAAUUGGCUAGAGUCCGGAAGAGGAGAGUGGAAUUCCCGGUGUAGCGGUGAAAUGCGCAGAUAUCGGGAAGAACACCCGUGGCUAAGGCGGCUCUCUAGUACGGUACUGACGCUGAGACGCGAAAGCGUGGGGAGCAAACAGG